AUUACCUACGGGGCGCAGCAGUGAGGAAUAUUGGUCAAUGGCCGGAAGGCUGAACCAGCCAAGCCGCGUGAAGGACGAAGGUGCCAAGCAUUGUAAACUUCUUUUGUCAAGGGACAAAAUCAGGCUCGAGAGCCUGACCGAGGGUACUUGAAGAAAAAGCAUCGGCUAACUCCGUGCCAGCAGCCGCGGUAAUACGGAGGAUGCGAGCGUUAUCCGGAUUUAUUGGGUUUAAAGGGUGCGUAGGCGGGCUGUUAAGUCUGAUGUGAAAGCCUUCGGCUUAACCGGAGUAGUGCAUUGGAAACUGG
rnacentral:rRNA from 1 species